rnacentral:tRNA from 1 species
GUUCAUGUAGCUCAUCUGGUAGAGCACAAGCCUCCUAAGCUUGGGGUAACGGGUUCAACUCCCGUCUUGAACGCCA